rnacentral:rRNA from 1 species
ACUCAAAGGAAUAGACGGGGGCCCGCACAAGCGGUGGAUCAUGUGGUUUAAUUCGAAGCAACGCGAAGAACCUUACCUGGAUUUGACAUCCUCGGACAACCCUAGAGAUAGGGCUUCAGUAGCAAUACUGCCGGGAGACAGGUGCUGCAUGGCUGUCGUCAGCUCGUGUGGUGACAUGUUGGGUUAAGUCCCGCAACGAGCGCAACCCUUGUCUUUAGUUGCCAGCAUUCAGUUGGGCACUCUAAAGAGACUGCCGUGGUGAACACGGAGGAAGGUGGGGAUGACGUCAAGUCCUCAUGGCCUUUAUAUCCAGGGCGACACACGUGAUACAAUGGAUGGUACAGAGGGAAGCCAAAGCGCAAGCUGGAGCCAAUCUCAAAAAGCCAUUCUCAGUUCGGAUUGGAGUCUGCAACUCGACUCCAUGAAGUUGGAAUCGCUAGUAAUCGCGGAUCAGCACGCCGCGGUGAAUACGUUCCCGGGCCUUGUACACACCGCCCGU